GCAGCUCAGGUGAGCGUGGGGAGAUCAAUGAGGUGAGGGGAGCAAUCAAGUACUAACACGCAGAUACUCUAGAGUGUGAAAGAGUUCCAUCAUUGAAGCGAAGAGAAAUAAUGGCAGUGGUCAGGAUGCAGAGGUGGAGGGCCGGCAGGAGAAGCCCCUCUGCCCAGAAGAUGUGGGUAGAUGGCAGGCGAAGCCCCACCGGCCAAGAAGAGGAGGUGGUGGCAGGGAGAAAUGAUGGCAGCAGCAAGGAGGGACAACCACUGGUUAAACCUAAUGACUUGUCAAGCAUGAAGCUGGAAAGGAGUCCUGUAGAAGUCCCAUAUGUUUCACUUGAACAUGCAUACAGAUAAAUAAAGCAGAUGCCAGGAACCAAGAAACUAAUCCUUGAAGUUUCGUAACUGGAUUCAUCAGCACAGAAAUCUUGAGGAUUCAACACAGCCCUUCAGGCCUCAAAGAAAAAGUGUCAGACAUUGUGAAUAAAUGGGCUGUUCAAACUCAAUCAGCAAAGCAGACCAUAGUUAUGACUCACUGGUUACAUUACUACUGAGUCACACCGAGCUCUGCAGUACCGGGCCUGCAUAAACAAAAGAAAGCAGGAGAAAGAGAACUGCUUGGAAUUGUGCCCAUCACAUAUACACAAAAAGCAA